AGUGCCGCCCGCCGCCUCAACCUACGCAACGACGCAUGCGCUCUUCUAACUUUCGCGCAUGUUCUCGCUUUCUCCAGACUUUCCAAGCUUCCAGCUACUCUCAAGCGCAUGCGCCAGAGAGAAAGAACUGUGCUCUUAGUUACCAGUGCCAGCUCGGGUGUUUGGCCAGGACUACGUCUUCUAAAUUAGGCCACAAUGCCGUGCGCGCAUUUUUGGGAGUAAGACCCAUUGAAUACAGUUCUGAAUAAAGAAGGGUCAGGCUGUCUAUUGGACAAAUUUUAGCCCCUAAAGUAAAUCCGCGCAAGUUGAGGAAUCCGAAAUAAUUUCAAAUUUUGUGCCACACUAGAUGUGGAAGAGACGCAGAUGUGAUUCCUGUCGUUUGUAGCACUCUUCAUCUUUGCUGAAGAGCUGGUGAGCAGAAAUAGCCAAUGAAUUAUCUGGGAACUAUGUACAAAAAGCCUUCUUGCCUUAAGGGGGCAAGUACCAAGUUAAAGCAAGCUGUGAGAACUGCCAUGAACCUGCUCUUUGUCGGGGAUCCAUCCAACAUGGGCACAUCAACGUGGAAGCACUGUGGUGUAUGGGCUGCCAGUGGUUUGAUGCUGCUGCUGUAUACAUUCAGGCCAUUGGCCCAUCUAGCCCUUCUCCAUUGAAUCCUAGACCUGGGGGGAGGGUGUGAGUAGCUUGUAGGGUCAUCUAGUCCAGCCCUCUUUUCAAUGGAGGAAAUCCAAAGCUUGAGCAUCCCCAAGAGAUGGCUGUCCAUCUCCAGUGUGGGACAGCCCCUGUGAAAAUCCUCUUAGCUGGAAAUGGCAGGGGAUUGAAUCAGCAACAUUCUGCUUGCAAAACAUACCCUCUACCAUUGAGCUACUGCCUCUUCUCCUUUUUGGUUUCUCUGUUUCUCAUUUCUCAGUCUUAAGUUCGGUUCCCUACACUUCUACAUCAGUUUGUGAUUUUAGCCCUCAUGAAAAUUCACUUGUCAUUUUAGUGCUGAUUUCUCCUAAUAUACACAUUUUUGUAUGCAGUUUUGCCUAAUGUACACAUCUUUGCAAGACAAUUUCCACUAAUAUGCAUUUUUGUGUUAUAUUUGUUAAAUAUAACACCCUUUAUCAUGUAUGUGUUUUUUGUGCACAUUACUUGGCUGGAGCAGUGCAUUGCGCAAUUUGGAGAAGGGCAAAU